rnacentral:rRNA from 1 species
GUCCACGCCGUAAACGGUGGGUGCUAGGUGUAGGCGGUAUUCCACGCCGUCUGUGCCGCAGCUAACGCAUUAAGCACCCCGCCUGGGGAGUACGGCCGCAAGGCUAAAACUCAAAGGAAUUGACGGGGGCCCCGCACAAGCGGCGGAGCAUGUGGCUUAAUUCGACGCAACGCGAAGAACCUUACCAAGGCUUGACAUGCAGGGAAAUCCUCCAGAGAUGGGGGGUCCGCAAGGGUCCUGCACAGGUGGUGCAUGGUUGUCGU